GGGGACUUAGAGGUAUAGGUGUAGGAUCUUGGGAGGAUCAAGUUACCCCUGGAAUCUGGGAAUAGCAAUUAUUCCUCAGUACCCAAUGUAGCUUCUUAUCCCCUAUGAGACACCAGAGUCAGUGAAGAUCAGGCCCAGAGAGCCCAGCUGCUAUGCCUAAGGGGAGCAGCAUAAAGUUACCAGGAGAAAAGAAGAAACCCUAAGGCCUUGGAGUUCCAGAGAUGGGAGCUAGCUGUUCUUCUAAUUCAGGUUUGACUGAACCACACCUCCAGAAGAGGACUCUUACCCAGGAUGGGACACUUCCAUUGAAUAUGGCUCCUCCUCAGAAAAACAAAAGACUUUUGAAGAACAAGUGAAAUAAAAGAUGCCUUUGGGUAACAGGGAGAUGGAAUUUAUUUUAAGCAUGAGAAUUCCUAUGAUGUAGGAUCAAACAGCU
rnacentral:lncRNA from 1 species